AGAUCAUAUUGGGGGUAAUUCCUAAGCAUGCCUUUAUACCUCUCCCGUGAUUCAAACAAGGACUCAUCAUCGUAUUGUUAGAAAUUUGCUAUCCUCUUCUUGAUCUU